rnacentral:rRNA from 1 species
GACGAACGCUGGCGGCGUGCUUAACACAUGCAAGUCGAGCGGUAAGGCCUUUCGGGGUCCACGAGCGGCGUACGGGUGAGUAACACGUGGGUGAUCUGCCCUGCACUUCGGGAUAAGCCUGGGACACUGGGUCUAAUACCGGAUAUGACCUCCUAUCGCAUGGUGGGUGGUGGAAAGAUUUAUCGGUGCAGGAUGGGCCCGCAGCCUAUCAGCUUGUUGGUGGAGUAAUGGCCUACCAAGGCGACGCCGGGUAGCCGACCUGAGAGGGUGACCGGCCACACGGGGACUGCGACACGGCCCAGACUCCUACGGGAGGCAGCAGUGGGGAAUAUUGCACAAUGGGCGAAAGCCUGAUGCAGCGACGCCGCGUGAGGGAUGACGGCCUUCGGGUUGUAAACCUCUUUCAGCAGGGACGAAGCGCAAGUGACGGUACCUGCAGAAGAAGCACCGGCUAACUACGUG